rnacentral:rRNA from 1 species
UAGGGAAUCUUCCACAAUGGACGCAAGUCUGAUGGAGCAACGCCGCGUGAGUGAAGAAGGUCUUCGGAUCGUAAAGCUCUGUUGUUGGUGAAGAAGGAUAGAGGCAGUAACUGGUCUUUAUUUGACGGUAAUCAACCAGAAAGUCACGGCUAACUACGUGCCAGCAGCCGCGGUAAUACGCAGGUGGCAAGCGUUGUCCGGAUUUAUUGGGCGUAAAGCGAGCGCAGGCGGAAUGAUAAGUCUGAUGUGAAAGCCCACGGCUCAACCGUGGAACUGCAUCGGAAACUGUCAUUCUUGAGUGCAGAAGAGGAGAGUGGAACUCCAUGUGUAGCGGUGGAAUGCGUAGAUAUAUGGAAGAACACCAGUGGCGAAGGCGGCUCUCUGGUCUGCAACUGACGCUGAGGCUCGAAAGCAUGGGUAGCGAACAGGAUUAGAUACCCUGGUAGUCCAUGCCGUAAACGAUGAGCGCUAGGUGUUGGGGACUUUCCGGUUCUCAGUGCCGCAGCAAACGCAUUAAGCGCUCCGCCUGGG